GAUAUCAAAGCUCCGGCGGUACAGGAUGGACCCGCGUCUGAUUAGCUAGUUGGUGAGGUAAUGGCUCACCAAGGCGACGAUCAGUAGCCGACCUGAGAGGAUGAUCGGCCACACUGGAACUGAGACACGGUCCAGACUCCUACGGGAGGCAGCAGUGGGGAAUAUUGCACAAGGGGCGAAAGCCUGAUGCAGCAACGCCGCGUGAGCGAAAAGGGCCUUCGGGUCGUAAAGCUCUGUCCUCAAGGAAGAAAUGAC
rnacentral:rRNA from 1 species